CACGAAGAUAAAAGGGAGGAGGAGGAGGAGAAAGAAAGAAAAGGUGAAAAGACAGGUAUCUGUUUGUAGUACAGUAGUAGUAGUGGAGGCAAUGUUCUAGAUUUACAUGAUAACAGCAAAUAAGUAGCAGCUAAACUCGGCAAUUCACAGUGUAAAAUGGGCCCGUGAAAACAGCAGCAGUGCAUUUAGAAAAUGUGCGUUAUAUCAGUGACUAUAUUGGUGUUUCAGCCCACCACAUGUUCGAGGGACACAUACACGAGUCUCAUGGCCACAAAACAACAGCCUCAUCUGAGCACGGAGAGAUAAGACAUGAGGAUGGGCAUACAGAAAGAAAAGCAGAAAGGACAGUUUCCCACAAGUCUGAGGGACACAUACAUGAGACUCAUGGCCACAAAACCACAACCUCACCUGAGCACGGGGAGAGAAGACAUGAGGAGGCACAUACAGAAAGAAAAGCUGAAUGGAGAGUCCCCCACAAGUCUGAGGAGCACGUACACGAGACGCACCAUGGCCACAAAACCACAACCUCAUCUGAGCACGGGGAGCAUGGGGUGAAAAGGCAUGAAGACGCACAUAAAGAAAGAGGAGUCUCCCACAACUCUGAGGAACAUGCGCAUGAGACUCAUGGCCACAAAACCACAACCUCAUCUGAGCAUGGAGAGAGAAGGCACGAGGAUGCUCACACAGAAAGAAAAGCUGAAUGGAGAGUCCCCCACAAGUCUGAGGAGCAUGUACACGAGACACAUCAUGGCCACAAAACAACAACUUCUGUGCAUGGAGAGGAAACGGAGGAAAAAGAAAGGAAAGUCUCCCACAAGCCUGAGGGACACAUACAUGAGACUCAUGGCCACAAAACAACAUUAUUUGAGCAUGGAGAAGGAGUGCAUAAAGAAACAAAAGUCUCGCACAAGUUUGAGGAACAUGGACAUGAGAGUCAUGGCCACAAAACAACAUUGUUUGAGCAUGGAGAAGGAGUGCAUAAAGAAACGAAAGUCUCGCACAAGUCUGAGGAACAUGGACAUGGGAGUCAUGGCCACAAAACAACAACCUCACCUGAGCACGGGGAAGAGAAACAUAACGAAAGAAAAGGUAUCGCUUGUAUAUGUAGCGGUGGCAAUGUGGUAGUUUACCUGUAGUAACAGACAAACUUUCAGCACAAUUUAAACUCAUAGUGAAAAUUGCAAACAGUAGAAAUGCAUCUUAACUUUGGAUUCCUAUAUUGAUGGCAAUGGCUGUUUCAGUCUCGCACAAGUCUGAGGAACAUGGACAUGGGAGUCAUGGCCACAAAACAACAACCUCACCUGAGCACGGGGAAGAGAAACAUAACGAAAGAAAAGUCUCGCACAAGUCUGAGGAACAUGGACAUGAGAGUCAUGGCCACAAAACAACAACCUUAUCUGAGCACGGUGAAGAGGAUCAUAAAGGAAGUAAAGGUAUCUGUCUUAUAUGUAGUGGUGUAGAUUUAGAUACUGUAGUUGUGUUGCAUUAAAUAUGCAGUAGAUAAACCUUCCUCACAAGCUAAACUUGGCAACUCCAGUGUUAAACUGGGCCAGUAUAAACAGCAGAAAUAUAUCUGAAUUCAUCUAUCUGCAUCUGUUCAACUAUAUAAUAGUUUAGUGGAUAAACUUAGGCUGUAGAGUAAAAUCUUAAUCUCGCAUUUUCUAUUUGAGAUACUAGGGGUGAGAAAAGGGAAGGAAGGGAGGACCAAUUAAAAACUCAGAUAUUUUAAUCAUAAGAUGUUUCUGCUUGUUACGUUCAUGACUAUUGUGGUGCAACAGUCCUCCACAAGUCUGAGGAACAUGAACAUGAGACUCACGGCCACAGAACAACUGGGCACGGGGAGGAAAGAAAAGCUGAAAGGAAAGGUAUCUGUUUUACCAGUAGUGGUGGAGAUCUUCUCAUAAAAUGUAUCUCAUAUCAUAUCACCUCAAUUUUGCUCAUUGUGGUGUUUAAGUUUCCCACAAUUUUGAGGGACACGUACAUGAAACUCACGGCCACAGAACAACCACCUCAUCUGAA